rnacentral:rRNA from 1 species
CACGUAGGGGGCAAGCGUUGUCCGGAUUUAUUGGGCGUAAAGAGCUCGUAGGCGGUUCGGUAAGUCGGGUGUGAAACCUCCAGGCUCAACCUGGAGAGGCCACCUGAUACUGCUGUGACUCGAGUCCGGUAGGGGAGCGUGGAAUUCCUGGUGUAGCGGUGAAAUGCGCAGAUAUCAGGAGGAACACCAGCGGCGAAGGCGGCGCUCUGGGCCGGAACUGACGCUGAGGAGCGAAAGCGUGGGUAGCAAACAGG